rnacentral:rRNA from 1 species
UACGUAGGGUGCAAGCGUUAAUCGGAAUUACUGGGCGUAAAGCGUGCGCAGGCGGUGAUGUAAGACAGGUGUGAAAUCCCCGGGCUUAACCUGGGAACUGCAUUUGUGACUGCAUCGCUGGAGUGCGGCAGAGGGGGAUGGAAUUCCGCGUGUAGCAGUGAAAUGCGUAGAUAUGCGGAGGAGCACCGAUGGCGAAGGCAAUCCCCUGGGCCUGCACUGACGCUCAUGCACGAAAGCGUGGGGAGCAAACAGG